AUGAACGCUACUGCGCGAUGUCGUCUGUCCGCCGCCGUUCAGGAUCGAAGCUGCAGCCCACCCUUUGCGCCGCAAAAGGUAGUCACAUCAUCCGCCGUAUCUGAAAUUCUGAAUGAACUACUAUCGCCUGCUAGGACGAAAAAUCUUUCUACCCACGGCUUUGUCUGCACAGUUUUCUUUCUUGGUUUGCAGUUCAUCUCUUUCUCUCUCUCAGGCACACAUACACACACAUGGAGUUUACAGUGUAGCAUAGCAAAUUAUUUUGUUAAUACACAAAUAGUUUCUGAUUAUUGGAAGGUCAAUCGCUUGAUUCAUAUGGUUAGAGUGGGCAUCUACAAUGAAAUCACAAGAAAUGCUUGCACCUUGGUUCGACUGCUGGGAGGAGGACCACCCAGCGAGGUGACUGAGUUGCUGCCGCCAGACCAUGCAGUGGCAACUCUGUCUGGUACAUCUGCAGUUCUGCAUGUGUGUUUGUGGGCUUGUGGCUAG
rnacentral:rRNA from 1 species